rnacentral:tRNA from 1 species
GCCGGUGUAGCUCAGGGGCAGAGCAGCUGUUUCGUAAACAGCAGGUCAUGGGUUCGAAUCCCCUCACCGGCUCCA